AUUGGGUAGGGGAGCGUUCUGUAAGCCGUUGAAGGUGAAUCGUAAGGUUUGCUGGAGGUAUCAGAAGUGCGAAUGCUGACAUGAGUAACGACAAAGGGGGUGAAAAACCUCCUCGCCGGAAGACCAAGGGUUCCUGUCCAACGUUAAUCGGGGCAGGGUGAGUCGACCCCUAAGGUGAGGCCGAAAGGCGUAAUCGAUGGGAAACGGGUUAAUAUUCCCGUACUUCUGACUAUUGCGAUGGGGGGACGGAGAAGGCUAGGUGGGCCAGGCGACGGUUGUCCUGGUUCAAGUGCGUAGGCUUGAGAGUUAGGUAAAUCCGGCUCUCUCUAAGGCUGAGACACGACGUCGAGCUGCUACGGCAGUGAAGUCAUUGAUGCCAUGCUUCCAGGAAAAGCCUCUAAGCUUCAGAUAGUCAGGAAUCGUACCCCAAACCGACACAGGUGGUCGGGUAGAGAAUACCAAGGCGCUUGAGAGAACUCGGGUGAAGGAACUAGGCAAAAUGGUACCGUAACUUCGGGAGAAGGUACGCUCUUGAUGGUGAAGUCCCUCGCGGAUGGAGCUGACGAGAGUCGCAGAUACCAGGUGGCUGCAACUGUUUAUUAAAAACACAGCACUGUGCAAAAUCGCAAGAUGACGUAUACGGUGUGACGCCUGCCCGGUGCCGGAAGGUUAAUUGAUGGGGUUAGCGCAAGCGAAGCUCUUGAUCGAAGCCCCGGUAAACGGCGGCCGUAACUAUAACGGUCCUAAGGUAGCGAAAUUCCUUGUCGGGUAAGUUCCGACCUGCACGAAUGGCGUAAUGAUGGCCACGCUGUCUCCACCCGAGACUCAGUGAAAUUGAAAUCGCUGUGAAGAUGCAGUGUACCCGCGGCUAGACGGAAAGACCCCGUGAACCUUUACUACAGCUUGGCACUGAACAUUGAACCUACAUGUGUAGGAUAGGUGGGAGGCUAUGAAGACGUGACGCCAGUUGCGUUGGAGCCGUCCUUGAAAUACCACCCUUGUAUGUUUGAUGUUCUAACUUAGACCCAUUAUCUGGGUUGAGGACAGUGCCUGGUGGGUAGUUUGACUGGGGCGGUCUCCUCCCAAAGAGUAACGGAGGAGCACGAAGGUGGGCUAAUCACGGUUGGACAUCGUGAGGUUAGUGCAAUGGCAUAAGCCCGCUUAACUGCGAGAAUGACGGUUCGAGCAGGUGCGAAAGCAGGUCAUAGUGAUCCGGUGGUUCUGUAUGGAAGGGCCAUCGCUCAACGGAUAAAAGGUACUCCGGGGAUAACAGGCUGAUACCGCCCAAGAGUUCAUAUCGACGGCGGUGUUUGGCACCUCGAUGUCGGCUCAUCACAUCCUGGGGCUGAAGUCGGUCCCAAGGGUAUGGCUGUUCGCCAUUUAAAGUGGUACGCGAGCUGGGUUUAGAACGUCGUGAGACAGUUCGGUCCCUAUCUGCCGUGGGCGUUGGAAGAUUGAAGGGGGCUGCUCCUAGUACGAGAGGACCGGAGUGGACGAACCUCUGGUGUUCGGGUUGUGUCGCCAGACGCAUUGCCCGGUAGCUAAGUUCGGAAUUGAUAAGCGCUGAAAGCAUCUAAGCGCGAAGCGAGCCCUGAGAUGAGUCUUCCCUGACAGUUUAACUGUCCUAAAGGGUUGUUCGAGACUAGAACGUUGAUAGGCAGGGUGUGUAAGCGUUGUGAGGCGUUGAGCUAACCUGUACUAAUUGCCCGUGAGGCUUAACCAUACAACACCCAAGGGGUUUUGUA
rnacentral:rRNA from 1 species